AUGAACGCUGGCGGCGUGCCUCAUACAUGCAAGUCGAGCGAACAGAUAAGGAGCUUGCUCCUUUGACGUUAGCGGCGGACGGGUGAGUAACACGUGGGUAACCUACCUAUAAGACUGGGAUAACUUCGGGAAACCGGAGCUAAUACCGGAUAAUAUUUCGAACCGCAUGGUUCGAUAGUGAAAGAUGGUUUUGCUAUCACUUAUAGAUGGACCCGCGCCGUAUUAGCUAGUUGGUAAGGUAACGGCUUACCAAGGCGACGAUACGUAGCCGACCUGAGAGGGUGAUCGGCCACACUGGAACUGAGACACGGUCCAGACUCCUACGGGAGGCAGCAGUAGGGAAUCUUCCGCAAUGGGCGAAAGCCUGACGGAGCAACGCCGCGUGAGUGAUGAAGGUCUUCGGAUCGUAAAACUCUGUUAUUAGGGAAGAACAUACGUGUAAGUAACUGUGCACGUCUUGACGGUACCUAAUCAGAAAGCCACGGCUAACUACGUG
rnacentral:rRNA from 1 species